rnacentral:rRNA from 1 species
UGGGGAAUUUUGGACAAUGGGCGAAAGCCUGAUCCAGCAAUGCCGCGUGUGUGAAGAAGGCCUUCGGGUUGUAAAGCACUUUUGUCCGGAAAGAAAUCCUUGGCUCUAAUACAGUCGGGGGAUGACGGUACCGGAAGAAUAAGCACCGGCUAACUACGUGCCAGCAGCCGCGGUAAUACGUAGGGUGCAAGCGUUAAUCGGAAUUACUGGGCGUAAAGCGUGCGCAGGCGGUUUGCUAAGACCGAUGUGAAAUCCCCGGGCUCAACCUGGGAACUGCAUUGGUGACUGGGCAGGCUAGAGUAUGGCAGAGGGGGGUAGAAUUCCACGUGUAGCAGUGAAAUGCGUAGAGAUGUGGAGGAAUACCGAUGGCGAAGGCAGCCCCCUGGGCCAAUA